UGUUCUUAUACGUUUUAAAACGUUUGUAAUACAGGCACACGCCGUCAAUUGCGCAGUGUAUGCAAUAUUAAAAUGCCGUUUUAAUUGCAGGUCAUGAUGUUAAUGGUUACGAUUUCGGCAACACUCGUUCACCUGCGUAAACAACCGUUUUUCGUAAAAUUGUUUAAUACGACUUACGUUUAGUCUCCGUCAUCAAUCCGCGACUUCGCGACAUUAUAAUGUAAUGUUAUGAUAUUCCGCCGAGAAAAAACCGAAACUGUGUACAAUUCGUAUUCAUUUUUUUUAAAUACUACUGUGUAAACAAUGCAAUCGCUUGACGUUUUACAUAAUAUAUUAUUAUAGACUACGG